rnacentral:lncRNA from 1 species
UUUUUUUUUCAUUAUCAUGGUUCAGAUAACCAGAAAACCUUCCUGCUACAAAAUACCUACAAGUUCCACAUAAAAUACAAAAAAGAUAAUAAUAAUGAAGUCCUGCUUAAUGCAUAGCUGAGCAUAUAAGAAAAUGACAUUAGACAAGGGCCAAGAAUAGCAAUUUAAAACAUUAGUAUAAAACACAAUCAAAAAUCAACAAGCAGAUUUGGACUAUAAUGAAAUGGUUUUUCUAAAAGCCAAAAAUAUGGUCACUGAAAUUAAAAACUUGGUAAGUUUUAAACAGCAAACUAAACAUGGGUGAAGAGCGAGUAACUAAAUUGGAAAUGAUCUAAGGAGCUUAGCUACAAUGUAGCUUGAGAGAUAAAAAGAUUAAAAAUAAGGCAGGGCACAGUGGUACAUAUCAAUAAUCCCAUCACUUUGGGAGGACAAGAUGGGUAAAUCGCUUGAGUCCAGGAGUUCGAGACCAGCCUGGGCAACAUAGUGAAACCCCAUCUCUACAAAAAAUACAAAAAUUAACCGGUCAUGGCGGCUCACGCCUGUGGUCCCAGCUACUUAGGAGGCUGAGGUGGGAGGAUCACUUGAGCCCAGGAGGUUGAGGCUGCAGCAAGCCAUGAUCACUCUACUGCAUUUCAGCCUGGGCUAUAGAGUGAGACCCUGUCUCAAACAAACAAACAAACAAAAAACAGAUUAAAAAUAAAAUAAGAGAGUAAGAGACUUAGAAGAAAGAGCAAAAGGUCCUAUGUACAUGGAACCACAGAUCAAAAGAUAGAAAACAGAGAGAAAAGUGAGAAGGCAACAUUAGAAAAGAUAAUAGCUAUAAAUUUUCUAGAAUAGAUGAAACACAUAGAACUCGCCUUCAGGAAGCACAUGCCCUAAGUAGGGUAAAUAAAAAUAAAUCCACAUUUCAACACAUCAUAAGAAAUUGCAAAACAUCAAAGAGAAAUCUUUUUAAAAGACAGAAAACAGAAGACCAAUCUAUCCAAAAUGUUGAGAGAAACAGCUAAAUUAUAACUCAAGAAUGAGGGUAAAAAAAGGCAUUUUCCAACAAAGAGUGUCCCACUAAUAAUUCUGACAAAUAAUUAUGAAAAAAAUGUGUGUUAUGAAGAAAACUGAAUCCAUAACCAAGAUUGACAAUGCAAAAUAAAAUAGUGAACAAAGUCAUUAGUAAUAAUCUGGGAAAAUCUAAAUGAGCACUGACAGGAUAAAACAGUAAUCGUAACUAAUGUCAAGAAUAUAAAAGCAAGGUGGAACUAUAAUACUUAACAUCAAUAACAUGUAAGAUAGACAGAGUGGUCAGAGUUUAAGCUUUCAAAGCUUUCAUAUUGUUUAGGAAGAGGAGAGAAAUACUGAUUAAAUUCAGAUUUUGUCAACUAUCCAUGUCAAUUUUAAAAGAUGGCCACUAAAGUAAGAAAAAUAUAAUGUGUGUAAUUUUCAACCCUAAAAAGAGGAUAAAAGUGAACAUAAAAAAUCUCAACUUUUGGUUAAACAGGAUAGGUUGAACCACUGUUUUCUCUCUGCUGUCUUCUAACACCACUC